AGGUGAAGCCACACCAUUUUCACUAACCAAACAAUACAUUUAUUUUACUGGUAAAAACAGGAACGAUUCCCUCAGGUUGAUGCAGUCUACAGCAGAACAGAUUCUUGUGUCAGUUUAAAGCUGAAGUUUAAAGGCUCUUGUGUUAGUGUUAAUGCAUCGUUCCUCGUCUACACUGUGACACACAGCACUGCAGGAGCCGUCAACAAAGCUGUCAAUCAAGGAGCAGCAGGAUAGCUGAAGGCAACAGUGAACAUACUGUUAAGUACACAGCCAGAGAGAAAGAGAGAUGAGCCAAGCGGAGAGAAGCCGCGCUGAGUGCCAGCUUCACGCAGCUUCAAAAGAAAAAUGAGCAGUUGAAAGAAGUUGCUCUAAACUGUGUGGGGCUUCUUGGAUUUUUCUGCUUCUUCCGUUCCUGAUGCCGCUCCAGGGGGGAACCUAAGAUGCGAGGCAGCUGCCUGACUAAGCGAUGAGGCCAAGAGGAGGAAGAGGAGGAUGGAAUUACCCCCACAGCCUUUUUCUCCAGAGGACUUUCCACCCAACAAGUUAAGUUACAUUUGGUAGAGGUUGGCAAUUUGAUACAUAUCUGCAAGGUGGUAGCUGUUCGGUGUGAACAAUUGAACGGAAUGUUGUAUCCGUUUUCUUUUUCCCUUUUUCCCUCAGCAGAAUGACUAAAACCUGUGUUGCCACAGUGACCUAGCAUCUGCAGGCUGUUCAUGUUUUUGGGGGCUGAUUUAUAUAUCUGAGCUGGCAUCAACGCUUUGUUUCGUCUCUUCCUGACCAACACUAGGGUUCCCAUAUUGCCAAAUAAUACAAAAGACAAAAGAAACUGAGGAAACAUGUGUAACCCUUCUGUUCCGAGCAGCAGAAUCCAACAUGAACGAAAGAAUCUGAACGCAGUUAAGAAGAACUGUGGUGUGCUACAGUUGUCCACAGCCAGAAUAGGAACAUCAACAAUGUACUAUACUCAUUUCCAGAUCACACAGCCUCUUCCAUCCAGCCUCUGUUACAACUGUUAGUGCACUUAGAACCACGUUUCCUGUAAGUAUUAUAGCCUCUAAAGGUGCUGACAGAACAGCCAAACUGGUUUUAUACCACACAUUAUCUUUAAGAAGGAGGGAAAAUGUGUGGUUUAAAUGGCUGUUUACAAUGUGUGUGUUUGUGCGUCAGAGAAGGACGCUGGAUGUUGGAAGGAUGACUUUAAAAUAUAUAUUUUUUCAAAUGCAGUCAGUGUUUCUUGGCCUUGAAUUCAUAGGCUCCUGUUUUCUUUUCUUGUAAACAUAAUUUUGUCCUCUAACAGAAGAUGUAUAGACAGUAGCCGGUCUGCACAGACCCUAUAGACUCACAGAAGGGAGGGAGGACAGUGUUGCUGGGUCACUGGCCUUCAGUGGGAUUGGGUUGCAACCUGGAUCCCAGAGGAGGGAGAGGAAGCCCGGGGAGGGGGCAGAGAGCACGCUGUGUGGCCAAACAACUAACUGAUAGCUCAGGGGGAAAUGUCCAGCAUCCUCAGCAGCACAUGGCUCACUAGUGGAGGACCCGUCACACCCACAUUUACAGCAGAUGGCUACUACAGGGGGUUUGUGCACAUAGAUUUUCGUGUGUGUGUGUGUGUUUUCAUACCUGUAGGACUGAGCU